rnacentral:rRNA from 1 species
GACGAAGGGGGCAAGCGUUGUUCGGAAUUACUGGGCGUAAAGGGCGCGUAGGCGGCAUGGCAAGUGGAAGGUGAAAUCCCUCGGCUUAACCGAGGAACUGCCCUCCAAACUGCUUUGCUUGAGGCCGGGAGAGGUGAGUGGAAUUCCCAGUGUAGCGGUGAAAUGCGUAGAUAUUGGGAGGAACACCAGUGGCGAAGGCGGCUCACUGGACCGGUUCUGACGCUGAUGCGCGAAAGCGUGGGGAGCAAACGGG